GCUGGCACAGUACUUACAGUAGAAUAUCUUUGGCUUCCCUCUGACAACCAUGCCUCCAUCCUUGCUACCCUCCCUGUUUUCCUUUCCCUGUUGCUUUAUAACCUGGGUUGUGAGUAACUGAAUCCACUUUCCCUUCUUCCCCCUCUCUCCUCCCUGGUGAAGGAAAAUUUGUUCCAAAAGCUAGGAACGUAAAUUUUCGUUUUUUUUUUUUUCUUUUUCUUUUUUGUAUCUAUCGGCUGUACUGAGCUGAGGUAAUAACAAUUAGGUCAAUGAAUUUCAAAUCCAUGAGAGAAAAAGAGGACAUGUUAUCAGUGAUAUGUGCUUGCUAAGGAGCUUGCAGCAUAAAGUUCCCAUAGAACUUUUGUGCACUACAUAAAGGUACACAUAUCUGGAUUUAAAAUGGCAGGAAAAGGAACAGUGGCAGUGACUUAUCUUCAAAGACAGGAAUAAUGAACGUAGAUCUACUGAAGAAUAAUCCUAUAAUCAACAAGUGAUUCAUAUAUAAGAAAUGUUAACAUCCAGAUCUGUAUGACACUGAACACAAUGUAAAUUAAACAGUUAAAUAUUCCAGACUGAUUGUAAAGUGUGGGAUUAGUAGCACCUGACAUAUGCAGCAUGUUCUAGUUAAAAAUUUUGAGAUGUUUGGACCUUGUGAAGGGCUUAAAUCAAAAACAAAGUAACUGAAUGAAUUCAGACUGUUUCCAACAUGUAAAUUCAAGAUGAUUCUCAUGUUUCCUGCCAGGUGGUAUGAACUUCUGUUUAAUUUAUGACGGAUGUGUACCGGACAGAUGAUCGGCACGGGCAGGUAGUCACCAAGCCCACCUAAGAAGUUAAACGUCCAUCU